rnacentral:rRNA from 1 species
UACUAAGAGCACACGGGGGAUGCCUAGGCUCUCAAAGGCGAAGAAAGACGUGAUAAGCUGCGAUAAGGUUCGGGGAGAAGCAAAUAUUUUGUGAUCCGGACAUUUCUGAAUGGGGAAACCCGUCUGGUUGAAGACCAGUCAUCCGAAAGGAGGCAAACGCACUGAACUGAAACAUCUAAGUAGGUGCAGGAAGAGAAAACAAUAGUGAUUUCCGUAGUAGCGGCGAGCGAAGUGGAAAUAG